GAGAGUCGAGCCUGCCCAGUGAAAUUUUUAACGGCCGCGGUACUCUGACCGUGCAAAGGUAGCAUAAUCAUUUGCCUUAUAAUUGAAGGCUAGUAUGAAUGGUUUGACGAAAGCAGAUCUGUCUCCCUUCUACUUUCUAGAAUUUGACCUCUGGGUGAAGAGGCCCAGAUAACAUUGAAGGACAGGAAGACCCUGUCGAGCUUAAAAGAACAAGUAGAAGUUAAUAUAUUUUUAAAUAAAUAAUCUACUAGGCUUUUUAGUUGGGGCGACUGAGGAACAAACAAAGCUUCUUUACUAAAAGAAACUAACAAGUUUAGAUCCAGCAGAAAUCUGAUCAAGAAAUUAGUUACCGCAGGGAUAACAGCAUAAUCUUCCUUGAGAGACCUAAUCGAAAGGAGGGGUUGUGACCUCGAUGUUGGACUAGAAUAUCCUAAAGAUGCAGAAGUCUUUAAGGGU
rnacentral:rRNA from 1 species